GGGGAUGCAAGGUUUCGACAGGGGAGGAAGGUCAGGAAUCGCAAGCCGAGGAUGCCACUGGUCCUCGUAAAACAUGUGGCAAGCCGUAACUGGCAACAACCAACUAGCACUAGCCGCCUAACAAGGCCGGCUACGUCCAACCCGGUCUCGUUCCGGUGGGCCGGAAUUGGGCGCUGCAAUGCCGGAGUGCCGUAGCCCCGACCGCCGAUAAAGGCUACUCAAGACCAUCGGCUGGCGUCUACCUAGCUUCGUCGGCUGAGCUAGCGGACGCGAGAACAAAUAGCCGAACAAGCUUGUAGCACAUUCCUGGUUCAGUCUUCUGGACGGGGGUUCGAUUCCCCCCAUCUCCACUA
rnacentral:tmRNA from 1 species